CUUGAAAGCCAAUUGUGCUAGUUCUUAUACUUUCCUUUAAUUAUCAGAUAUGCGGGUACAAGGAUGUACCCGCAAGUGAGAACGUGCCAAGGAGGGCACGUUCGAACGGUGUCGUCCGUUGAUAAAGAGUAUAAGGAAAGUAUUAGAAAUAGCCGAUUGGUUUUCUGG
rfam:Eubacterium sp. CAG:252 genomic scaffold, scf122